GUCCCGAAAAAGAUCCGAAUCGUUUGUGAAUCUCAUCACUGUUAGAAAUCCAAGAGAAGAGAUCCUCUUCCCUUAACAUCAUCAGAGGAAAAAUCUGCUUCUUAAUCAAUUAGUUUCAGCGUUUGUACCUCUCUCUCUGGAUCCAUAUCAUCCUACAGUCUCUUCUUGAGCAAGGCGUGGUGAGACACUUUACACAAGAUUUACCUGUAAUUCAUAACGCGCUCUGUGACCUUCUCCCUCCCUCAGCACUCUGUGGUCUGUGUGUAUCUGCUGAGUCACCAGAAAUCUGCCAAGACACUGACGCUUGCGCCUGCUCCAACAUCUGGCGCAUAAGGGCUUUAAGGUUUCCAGAACCAAGCUGCAAUAUUGCAUGGACACUUAAGUAUUUGAACUUUUGCAGUUUUGAACUUUCUCAAGGCUGUCAUUCUAGACACAAAACGCCCUGCAACUAAACAUGCACUGAUGUCUUUUCUGGGUCAGAAAAUGGAUCCCUGACUGCUCUUUAUAUGACAAGCUUCUCCGUUCUGCAAUCUCUCAUCACGAUCCACUGCAACAUCCUUUGACCUGGACUGACACUAUGGUGGUCUCUUAUCACUCCCUCACCCUUUGUUCCGCCCCUGGGUUACCUGCUCACUUCAAGCCCUUCCACCUCUAUGCCUGUGAACACCAAGGCACAGCCUCUG